rnacentral:lncRNA from 1 species
AUGUGGGGGGCGCGGAGAGGAAGAGCAAUAUCCAUAUAUUGAACAUGAAAAAAUGAUUUCUUUCUUCUCAAACUUUCUGCGACACAUUUCAUGGACUCAGCAAGCUAAAGAAACCAAAGAUUGCACCAAAUUUAUUUAAACUUUUUGCUUCGAUUAUUUUUCCCAGUGAAUUGAUCAGUUAAGAUCUGCCUUCACAUCUUUUUAGAAGCACAAGGGAUAGGAGUUAUCAAGUAUACCACGAUCCUUGUUCUUCCACAAAUUACAAAGGGGAAGAGGAAACAACCAGAAAAACCAACAAGGAAGAUUUGAGAAUGGCAAUAGCUGGGUUAGCUCACCUGAGAAAUUUUUUCUUUAAAGCUGGCCAUCGAGAGAACCUACUCACAGGAAUGUAACGCUUCAGUGAGGCAUUUUGACGAACAGAUGAAGAGCAGACAAGAGCAGAACAUAACUUCAUCUGAAACGAGCAGUACCCGCCACUAGAUGAACCGGCACGAAUCAGCUGAGGUCCACGGCCUCCACUUCUCUCCCGCCGGCGGUGAUUUCGAGGCGGAGGUGGAAGCGACGAGAGGAGAGGGGAACGAAUGGAGGUUAGCCGGUUUAGACGACGCGAGUUAAUGGACAGGAAGGCGGCGGGGGUUGGGUCCGUGCGGAUACGGGAGCCGCGGAGAGGAAAAGCAACAUUCACAUAUUGAACAUGAAAAAAA